AGGGCUUCCAAGGAAAGAAUGGGCCCCCAGGCCCCCCGGGUGUGGUUGGACCACAGGGCAAAUCUGGUGAGACAGGACCAACAGGAGAUAGAGGCCAUCCAGGUGCACCAGGGCCACCAGGUGAGCAUGGUUUACCAGGAACUGCCGGAAAAGAGGGUGCCAAGGGAGACCCAGGUCCAUCAGGUGCCCCUGGGAAGAGUGGCCCUGUUGGGCUUAAAGGCUUCAGAGGGAGCAGAGGGACACCUGGCCAAACAGUAACAAAAAUUUUCAUAUACCUAAUAUCUAUACUGUGCUGACUACUAAC
rnacentral:lncRNA from 1 species